rnacentral:lncRNA from 10 species
GCCCCGUCCGCGCAGCUCGUCCGGCCCGCCCGCAGGCCAGCUUCUCUCGGGAGCCUCCACCCAGGCGCAUGGCUCCAUGAAGCAAGAGGAGGAGGCAGAGCGCGAGAGAUCCCGUCCGCCCCAGCCGCGUCUGGGCCAGGAGAAAAGCAAAACCAUAUUCCUGCUGCUGUCAGUUUUGAUGCACUGAGAAAACUUCAGAGACCUAAGCUUUUUCCAGAGAAGAGAAGCUUUACUGGUGUUCCAGCCCUAAGAAACCUUUGUUCAACAAAACUGCAGAUGCUCUGUUGAAUCCACUGGAGAUUGUCCUGAUACUAAGGACAAGUAUGCUCAUAUGACAUUAACAGACAAGACACUUUUCAGAAAGACAGGCAACGUGUUGGACCUUCCGGAGCUUCUCAGAAGACAGAGGGUUUUCUUUUGAGGCUGUUGUACAGUGGCCUGAUUAUAGCUCACUGUAGCCUCGAAAUUCUGGGCCGAAAUGAUCCGCCUGCCUCAGCCUCCAAAGUAGCUGAGACUACAGCAGUUUAAGUAUAGUGUGCCUGGGCCGGGUGCGGUGGCUCAC